GCCAAGCAAGCAACAAAUCCGCACCCCAGCCACUCCCUCUCCCCUCCGCCUCUCAGGGCGUCCCGGGCGGGCGCGGGCGCGCCAGGCCCUGCGCAAACCUCCGCCAAGCAGCCCCGCACUUCCCGGUGGUCACCCCGGCUCCGGGCCGAGCCGAGUCCCCAGGACACCAGCAGAAGCGCACACAAACACCGACCCGGACGUGGGGUCACCAGAACGAACCUGGGAUACCCACGACGCCCAGGCUAGGGCAGGUGCCAGGCCUCCCUACUCGCAGACACACCCGGUAGACGCUGCUCCCAGUCCGCUGCCGCCGCCUCGUCUCGCCCUCACGCCAGUCGUCUUCUCCCGCGGGGGGGUCCGGGCCGGCGCAGCUUCCCCGCCCGACCCCCCUCGGGUUCGCGCCGCGCGGAGCCCAGAUCCGGUUGAAGACGACGGGAAUGGAGCUGGUGUCACCGAAACUUUCAUAAGAUGGCUUUGUCCCCAGUGGACCUGGCAGAUGCCUAAAAUCGGUCUUUCUCUCUACAUUCAUUUUUUGGUUUCUUCUCCACUCACACUGGGAAGAUUCAGUUGCCCAUCCCAGAACACAAGUGAUGCUCUUUCCUCGACCCCCGGUCUCUUUCUUUCCAGUGAUGUUAUAAGUCCUCUCUUAGUUCUGGGUGUCUUGUGUGUAACUGGUGUCCAAAUAUUGGCUCUCUCAUGGAUGAGCAUGAUGCUUCAUAGCUCUCUGCUCUCUUCAUUGCACAGUUCUUAGAAAUGCACUCAAUCUCCUCUAACUUCUCGGUCCCUGCCUCUUAUGGAAUACCCACAGCUUCUUACUGCCAAGAUCCCCUCAUCCAUUUGCAGGGCCUUAAGCAGGGCAUAGGCAAUGGGUUCAAAGUUUAUUUCCUUCUGUGACACUCAUCGGAUCCAUGGGAAACUCAUAUACCCUUGCAAUCCUGAACAACAAACAUGAUGCCCUGUUGUUGCUACUCCAGCAAGCUUCCUGCCUUCAGAAUUCUAAGAGGCCAGAAGCAGUGUCUGUAUUGAAGCAGGUCUUCAACCUCCAAGGAAACAUGGCAGGUUUUCCCUAAAACUCUCUCUCCAGGUUUGAGCUACAGAAAGCUACAGUUCAAUAACCAAGCAGCUGGGGGUGGUGUGAUGCAUCUUCACAACAAUUCUAAGUCACCUCUCAAAGGCCCCCUAACUUGGCUUCCCCUUACCCACUAGGAAAAAAUCUGUAACACUCCUUCAAAGAUGAUAAGUAAUAAGCAUCUCCCUUGUAGUCUUAUUUAGUCCGAAGGAAAUGUUUGAGAGUCAUAGAACUGGUUUUGCCACCUCUUGGUGUGUCUUGUGGAGAAAAGCCUAAAAGCUGUCUCUAGAAUGUGAUAGAAUUUAGUAUGUAUUCUCUUUACCUGUAUCAGACACAUUUUAUAUACCACUUCAGAUGUAUUUGUUGUAUCAUUAACCUAUCAUCAUGUAACAAACCAUUUCAAAACAUAAUUGUCUUAAUCAUUUUAUUGGCUAAUUAUAUAGUGGA
ensembl:lncRNA